rnacentral:rRNA from 1 species
GACGAACGCUGGCGGCGUGCUUAACACAUGCGAGUCGAACGGAAAGGCCCUGCUUUUGUGGGGUGCUCGAGUGGCGAACGGGUGAGUAACACGUGAGUAACCUGCCCUUGACUUUGGGAUAACUUCAGGAAACUGGGGCUAAUACCGGAUAGGAGCUCCUGCUGCAUGGUGGGGAUUGGAAAGUUUCGGCGGUUGGGGAUGGACUCGCGGCUUAUCAGCUUGUUGGUGGGGUAGUGGCUUACCAAGGCUUUGACGGGUAGCCGGCCUGAGAGGGUGACCGGCCACAUUGGGACUGAGAUACGGCCCAGACUCCUACGGGAGGCAGCAGUGGGGAAUAUUGCACAAUGGGCGGAAGCCUGAUGCAGCAACGCCGCGUGCGGGAUGACGGCCUUCGGGUUGUAAACCGCUUUCGCCUGUGACGAAGCGUGAGUGACGGUAAUGGGUAAAGAAGCACCGGCUAACUACGUG